GUGAGGAAUUUUCCGCAAUGGGCGAAAGCCUGACGGAGCAAUGCCGCGUGAAGGAUGAAGGCCUAUGGGUUGUAAACUUCUUUUCUCAGAAAAGAAUUAUGACGGUAUCUGAGGAAUAAGCAUCGGCUAACUCUGUGCCAGCAGCCGCGGUAAGACAGAGGAUGCAAGCGUUAAACGGAAUGAUUGGGCGUAAAGCGUCUGUAGGUUGUUUAAAAAGUAUUCUGUAAAAGAUUAGGGCUUAACCCUAGAUAGGCAGAAUAAACUUUUAAGCUAGAGUUUGGUAGAGGCAGAGGGAAUUCCCGGUGGAGCGGUGAAAUGCGUAGAUAUCGGGAGGAACACCAAAGGCGAAGGCACUCUGCUGGGCCAAUACUAACACUGAGAGACGAAAGCGAGGGGAGCAAAUGGGAUUAGAAACCCGUGUAGUCC
rnacentral:rRNA from 1 species